rnacentral:rRNA from 1 species
GGUUGAUUAUGGCUCAGAUUGAACGCUGGCGGGAUGCUUUACACAUGCAAGUCGAACGGCAGCACGGACUUCGGUCUGGUGGCGAGUGGCGAACGGGUAAAGGUAAUGCGGCAAUAAGACGUGCCUAAUGGCAGGGGAUAACUACGCGUAUGGCUAUUUUACAUACGCCCAUCGCAAGGGAAAGCGGGGACCUUCGGGGGCUCACUAAUGAGCGAGCCGAUAUCCGGGUUGGCUAGUUGGUGGGAGAGUAACAGCUGCAAAGGCGGCGAUCCGCGGCUGUGGUUUGAGAGGACGACCAGCCACACUGGGACUGGAACCUGGCCCGAACUCUACGGGAGGCAGCAGUACAAGGAAUUUUGGACGUGGAAACUGGUCAGCAGCCGCGUGUGCGAUGAGGCCUUCGGGUUGUAAAGCACUUGCAGCGGGAAAGAAACGGCACAGGAUAAUACCGCGUACAACUGACAAUCACCUGCAGAAUAAGCACCAGCUAUUCGGUGCCAGCGGCGCGUGUAUGGGGUGCAGAGGCGUUAAUCAGAAUUACUGGGCGUAAAGCGUGCGCAGGCGGUUCGGAAGAAAGAAAUCGUAAAUCUGAGCUUAACUUGGAACUGCAUUUUUAACUACCGAGCCAAGUGUCUCAGAGGAGGUGGAAUUCACGCAUUAGCAGUGAAAUAAAUGCGUCUUCUGGAGGAACACCGAUGGCGAAGGCCUCCUGAGUUCUUUCACUGACGCUCAUGCGAAAGCGUGGGGAGCGAGCAGGAUUGAAUGCCUGAUGAUGCACUUUAAACGUGUCCAACUAGCUGUUGGGGCCAUUGUGGGCCAGCAGUAGCUAGCUAACGUGAAGUUGACCGCCUGGGAGAAUGGUGCGGGUGCAAACUCAAAGGUGUGACGGGGACCCGCACAAGCGAAGUGGAUGAUGUGGGAUUCAUUCGAUGUUGCAACGCGAAAAGCCGCUUUUCAUGACGUAUCUGGAAUCCCGAGGUGGGAGUGCUCGCGAGAGAACCGGGUACAGGUGCUGCAUGGCUGUGUCAAUCGUGUCGCGAGGAUGUUGGGUUAAGUCCCGCAACAGCCGCAACCCCUUGUCGACUAGUUUUGCUACGAAAGGGCACUCUAAUGAGACUGCCGGUGACAAACCAGGGGGAAAGUCAGGGAUGACGUCAGUCCUCAUGGCUGCCCCUUAUGGGUGGGCUUCACCACGUCAUGCAAUGGUGGGACAGAGGGUCGCCAACCGCGAGGGGGUAAUCCGAAGGCGAUCAGCCAGUGGAUCAUGAUCACAAUGACUGCGUGAAAUUGGGAAUCGCUAGUAAUGCUUUGGAUCGGCUUUUAUCUUGAUGGGCUACGUUCAGGUCUUGUAUACACCGCCCGUCACACCAUGGGAGUGGGACACAGAAGUGGUUGGCCUAACCGUAAGAGGGGCGAUUACCACGGUAGUUCGACUGGGGCGU